rnacentral:rRNA from 1 species
ACGCUCGACACCUACGGGAGACAGCAGUAGGGAAUCUUCCACAAUGGACGCAAGUCUGAUGGAGCAACGCCGCGUGAGUGAAGAAGGUCUUCGGAUCGUAAAACUCUGUUGUUAGAGAAGAACACGAGUGAGAGUAACUGUUCAUUCGAUGACGGUAUCUAACCAGCAAGUCACGGCUAACUACGUGCCAACAGCGCGGUAAUCUGAGCGGGCUGGCAAGGC